UACAGAGGUCCCAAGCGUUGUUCGGAUUCACUGGGCGUAAAGGGUGCGUAGGUGGUUUGUUAAGUUGGAUGUGAAAGCCCCGGGCUCAACCUGGGAACUGCAUCCAAAACUGGCAAGCUAGAGUACGGUAGAGGGUGGUGGAAUUUCCUGUGUAGCGGUGAAAUGCGUAGAUAUAGGAAGGAACACCAGUGGCGAAGGCGGCUCUCUGGGACGGUACUGACGCUGAGACGCGAAAGCGUGGGGAGCGAACAGG
rnacentral:rRNA from 1 species